AUCCUGUUAAGCCUACAGGGAAUUCUGUGACUCUAAAGGACAAAUUUGACGUUCCAUUAUGGUCAGUUGAUCCUGUCAAUGGACCAAUCAGUUCAUAUCAAGUUAUCGUAGUCAAAGGAAACAAAGAUGUCAGUGACUUACCAACAAAUAUCGGUGACUACAAAGAUGCACAGGAGCUUUACGUCGCAGCAGAACUGAAACCAAACGAGAUCAAGUCUUCUUUACCUGUGGGUGACAAUAAAAUAUAUGGACAUUAUAAAAAUGUACCACUAGACAAAGGAAAAAUAUAUACUAUUGCAGAAAGAGCGAUUACUGAACAUCAAGGAAAAAUUUACGCGGGCCAAUCUGCAGUAGUAGCUACAGUUGAAGYGACUCAAGGUAUAACGCCAAAUAUCUUACUAAUUCUUUAAGAUUGUUGCAUGGAAUUAUCUUGUUUGUAACACUACUGUUUUACUACUGUAUUCGUACAAAAGAUCAAAGACAAAAAAUGUGAA